rnacentral:rRNA from 1 species
GGCUCAGGACGAACGCUGGCGGCGUGCCUAAUACAUGCAAGUCGAGCGGACGGAUGGGAGCUUGCUCCCUGAAGUCAGCGGCGGACGGGUGAGUAACACGUGGGCAACCUGCCUGUAAGACUGGGAUAACUUCGGGAAACCGGAGCUAAUACCGGAUAAUGCACAGCCUCUCAUGAGGCUAUGCUGAAAGAUGGUUUCGGCUAUCACUUACAGAUGGGCCCGCGGCGCAUUAGCUAGUUGGUGAGGUAACGGCUCACCAAGGCAACGAUGCGUAGCCGACCUGAGAGGGUGAUCGGCCACACUGGGACUGAGACACGGCCCAGACUCCUACGGGAGGCAGCAGUAGGGAAUCUUCCGCAAUGGACGAAAGUCUGACGGAGCAACGCCGCGUGAGUGAUGAAGGUUUUCGGAUCGUAAAACUCUGUUGUCAGGGAAGAACAAGUGCCGGAGUAACUGCCGGCACCUUGACGGUACCUGACCAGAAAGCCACGGCUAACUACGUGCCAGCAGCCGCGGUAAUACGUAGGUGGCAAGCGUUGUCCGGAAUUAUUGGGCGUAAAGCGCGCGC